GCCGCUACUAAAGGUUCGUUUGUUCAACGAUUAAAACCCUACGUGAUCUGAGUUCAGACCGGAGUAAUCCAGGUCAGUUUCUAUCUAUAAAAGAGUUUUUUCUAGUACGAAAGGACCGAAAAAACAUGGCCCAUACUUAAUGCAAGCCAUAAUUAUUAACUUAUGACCAAAUCUUAAUAAGUACCUAAUCCACCACCUAACUCAAAAAAAGAGUA
rnacentral:rRNA from 1 species